rnacentral:RNase_P_RNA from 1 species
GGAGCCGGCCAGACAGCCGCCGUCUUCGGCAUUCGGAGGCGGAGGAAAGUCCGGGCUCCACAGGGCAGGGUGCCAGGUAACUCCUGGGGGGCGCGAGCCCACGGAAAGUGCCACAGAGACCAGACCGCCUAUCCCCGGCGCCGCGCGCGGCGGGGCGGCAAGGGUGAAACGGUGGUGUAAGAGACCACCGCGUCCGGUGGCAACACCGGCGGCACGGCAAACCCCACCCGGAGCAAGACCAAAUAGGGGGACCAGGGUGCGGCCCGCACCGUCCCCGGGUAGGUCGCUCGAGGCGCACGGCGACGUGCGUCCCAGAUGAAUGGCUGUCCUCGACAGAACCCGGCUUACCGGCCGGCUCCUUCC